GCUUUCGUGGUGUAGUGGUCAGCAUGCUCGACGCGUAACCGAGAGGUCCGUGGUUCGAUUCCCGUCGAAGGCG
rnacentral:tRNA from 1 species